GAUCGAAUGGGGAGAUUCAUCGUCAGCUCAUUUUGUAUAUGUAUAAGUUAUGAUGCGGGUUACUACUUGUAGUAUUGCGUUGCACAUUCUUGUAUAUUUAGUUGCAAGAUGUUGUCGGCGUGCACUUCUCCCCUAGUAGGACGUCGCGACCUGUURGGUGUCGGUCUACGGCCCAAGUGAUAGACUUUAAUGUAAUUUAAAAAGCAUUAAAGAUCCUUGGUGUUUUCUGACCGGCUACUUGGCAGUAUUCGUACGGUAUUUAGCCGCUAAAUUUAAUAAGCGUCCAUAUCCGUCACAAGCGAGGCUAAUUUACUUGAUAGUACGGACCUAGUGCCGUCGUUGGUAUUGGCCAGCUGUUGGUUGUAUGGUAUUCUAGGACUGGCUAAAAUUAAUUACCGGUCGGCGAUGCUACUGCUUUGGGUACUUUCAGGACCCGUCUUGAAACACAGACCAAGGAGUCUAACAUGUGCGCAAGUCAUUGGGAUUUUUUUUAAAUUAAACCAAAAGGCACAAUGA
rnacentral:rRNA from 1 species